rnacentral:rRNA from 1 species
UACGUAGGGGGCGAGCGUUGUCCGGAUGUACUGGGCGUAAAGAGCGCGCAGGCGGUCGGACAAGGCGCGUGUGAAAGCCCCCGGCUCAACUGGGGAGGGUCACGCGAUACUGUUCGACUCGAAGGCAGGAGAGGGAAGUGGAAUUCCCGGUGUAGUGGUGAAAUGCGUAGAUAUCGGGAGGAACACCAGUGGCGAAGGCGACUUCCUGGCCUGUUCUUGACGCUGAGGCGCGAAAGCUAGGGUAGCAAACGGG